UUACGACUACAUCAUGUGGGAAACUCCAGUUCCUGUACGAUCAUCAAAGUUAAGCAAUGUCAAUUCUGGUCAAUACCUAGAUGGGUAACCGCUUGGGAAUACCAGGUGCUGUAAG